CGAUGAAACCGCUUCGGUGGUGGAUUAGUGGCGAACGGGUGAGUAACACGUGGGCAAUCUGCCCUUCACUCUGGGACAAGCCCUGGAAACGGGGUCUAAUACCGGAUAACACUCCUGCCUGCAUGGGUGGGGGUUGAAAGCUCCGGCGGUGAAGGAUGAGCCCGCGGCCUAUCAGCUUGUUGGUGGGGUAAUGGCCUACCAAGGCGACGACGGGUAGCCGGCCUGAGAGGGCGACCGGCCACACUGGGACUGAGACACGGCCCAGACUCCUACGGGAGGCAGCAGUGGGGAAUAUUGCACAAUGGGCGAAAGCCUGAUGCAGCGACGCCGCGUGAGGGAUGACGGCCUUCGGGUUGUAAACCUCUUUCAGCAGGGAAGAAGCGCAAGUGACGGUACCUGCAGAAGAAGCGCCGGCUAACUACGUGCCAGCAGCCGCGGUAAUACGUAGGGCGCAAGCGUUGUCCGGAAUUAUUGGGCGUAAAGAGCUCGUAGGCGGCUUGUCACGUCGGAUGUGAAAGCCCGGGGCUUAACCCCGGGUCUGCAUUCGAUACGGGCUAGCUAGAGUGUGGUAGGGGAGAUCGGAAUUCCUGGUGUAGCGGUGAAAUGCGCAGAUAUCAGGAGGAACACCGGUGGCGAAGGCGGAUCUCUGGGCCAUUACUGACGCUGAGGAGCGAAAGCGUG
rnacentral:rRNA from 1 species